GUUGUGCUGUUUCACCAAUGUAACAAGUUUAGAGUGUUGUCACUUCUUAACAUUUUUAACCUGCCACCUUAUGUAUGUUACUAUCGCAAGUCAGGAGACUAUAAUUCAGCGGCUGUAUUUUUUGUUGGUGUCUAUCAUGUUUUUUUUUCUUUUAUUGCAUUGUACAUAAAUUAGGCGGUUUCUUUUCUUGUUUAAAAUAUUUCACAUUUUGUCCUGUCAGAUGCUUUUUAAGCUUACUGUAUGGUAUUAAAUUUUUCUCAUUGUUGAGGGUCAUACAGUGACCAAUAGUUCCCCAUAUGAUUUCUGAAUUAUUUGGUCUCUGGUGGAUAGUUGACAACCAGAGACCAAACAACUUGUGUACACUAGCAAUCAUACCACAUCUUUAUUCUGAUAUUUAUCUAUAAAG
rnacentral:lncRNA from 1 species